UACGGAGGGUGCAAGCGUUAUCCGGAUUCACUGGGUUUAAAGGGUGCGUAGGAGGGCAGGUAAGUCAGUGGUGAAAUCUCCAAGCUUAACUUGGAAACUGCCGUUGAUACUAUCUGUCUUGAAUAUUGUGGAGGUGAGCGGAAUAUGUCAUGUAGCGGUGAAAUGCUUAGAUAUGACAUAGAACACCAAUUGCGAAGGCAGCUC
rnacentral:rRNA from 1 species